GACGUAGGGUGCGAGCGUUGUCCGGAUUUAUUGGGCGUAAAGAGCUCGUAGGCGGCUCGUCGCGUCGACCGUGAAAACCCGCAGCUUAACUGCGGGCUUGCGGUUGAUACGGGCGGGCUAGAGUUCGGUAGGGGAGACUGGAAUUCCUGGUGUAGCGGUGAAAUGCGCAGAUAUCAGGAGGAACACCGGUGGCGAAGGCGAGUCCCUGGACAACUUCUGACGCUGAGGCACGAAAGCUAGGGGAGCAAACAGG
rnacentral:rRNA from 1 species